rnacentral:rRNA from 1 species
UACGAAGGGGGCUAGCGUUGCUCGGAAUCACUGGGCGUAAAGCGCACGUAGGCGGAUUGUUAAGUCAGGGGUGAAAUCCUGGAGCUCAACUCCAGAACUGCCUUUGAUACUGGCGAUCUUGAGUCCGGGAGAGGUGAGUGGAACUGCGAGUGUAGAGGUGAAAUUCGUAGAUAUUGGGAAGAACACCGGUGGCGAAGGCGGCUCUCUGGACCGAGACUGACGCUGAGGCGCGAAAGCGUGGGGAGCAAACAGG